rnacentral:rRNA from 1 species
UACGAAGGGGGCUAGCGUUGUUCGGAAUUACUGGGUGUAAAGGGCGCGUAGGCGGCUUCGCUAGUCGGGCGUGAAAUGCCUGGGCUUAACCCGGGAAUUGCGUUCGAUACUUCGAGGCUAGAGUGUGGGAGAGGUUGGUGGAAUUCCCAGUGUAGAGGUGAAAUUCGUAGAUAUUGGGAAGAACACCGGUGGCGAAGGCGGCCAACUGGACCACAACUGACGCUGAGGCGCGAAAGCGUGGGGAGCAAACAGG